GAUGAACGCUGGCGGCGUGCCUAAUACAUGCAAGUCGAGCGAACAGACGAGGAGCUUGCUCCUCUGACGUUAGCGGCGGACGGGUGAGUAACACGUGGAUAACCUACCUAUAAGACUGGGAUAACUUCGGGUAACCGGAGCUAAUACCGGAUAAUAUAUUGAACCGCAUGGUUCAAUAGUGAAAGUCGGUUUUGCUGUAACUUAUAGAUGGAUACGGGCCUGAUUAGCUAGUUGGUAAGGUAACGGCUUACCAAGGCAACGAUGCGUGGCCGACCGGAGAGGGUGGUCGGCCACACUGGAACUGAGACACGGUCCAGACUCCUACGGGAGGCAGCAGUAGGGAAUCUUCCGCAAUGGGCGGAAGCCUGACGGAGCAACGCCGCGUGAGUGAUGAAGGUCUUCGGAUCGUAAAACUCUGUUAUUAGGGAAGAACAAAUGUGUAAGUAACUAUGCACGUCUUGACGGUACCUAAUCAGAAAGCCACGGCUAACUACGUG
rnacentral:rRNA from 1 species